rnacentral:misc_RNA from 1 species
AUCGUUUUCUUUGAAAUUCCCCUUUCUUACCCUUUCCUCUGUUUGGCUUUGAUUUUAAAAAACAAAAGAAUCGAUUGCCUCUUCUUCAUGUGUGGGUAUGAUCUCGAUAAGGUAGCAGAACUAAUACUUUGGGAACUCAUUUUGAUUGGUAGUACUGCUAUAGAAGACAAACUUCAAGGAGUACCAGAUUGUAUUGAGACUUUCUAGAGCUGGAAUCAAGAU